CUAUCGCCCGCGCGGCGCGAGCCUCCGGCUUUGCCCUGCGCCUAGCGCGUGGGCCCGCCGGCGUUUCCCGGGCUCCUGGCCGAGUGCACCCCGCAGUCCAGACAACGCAGACACCGGCCUGAGCAACGGCUCGCUCUACAGUAAGCUUUGUAAUGAAGCAUAACAUCUAGCAAGAGAAACCAGAUCAGAAAGCCAUGGAAUCAAAGUAGGGAAGGUGAUGGACUGAAUGCGGUAAGCUGCCAGAAUGAAACAAGAAGAUCUUCUUCCCAGGUCUCUCCCUUCCUGCGAACAUGAGCUCACUCAGGCUCGUGAGCCCUCAGUCUCAUCUACGGUUUCCAACUAAGCUGUAGCACUCUGAUGUGGGAGGUUGCGAUGGACUCUUCAUCUAGGUAGAGGUUGUUUCAGAGAAACAGAAAUGGAAACAGAGAGCACCAGAGAAUAACCAAAAGAAGCAAUACGAAUAAACACUCAUUAUGGUCCCUAACAUUAAAUUAAGCUUUCCAAUGCUAGUGAGGAGAAAUAUUUCCUAAGAGAAGAGUGUCUUGGAGAUAGGUGAAAGAAAGCACAUGAAGAGAAACAGGAGUCUUCAUGAUUCUACUGGAAGUCACACGUUUUUACAGUAAACCUUGAACAGAAAUGUUUGAAUUACAGUUCAGUUGUAAGUUGAGCUAAGCUACUGAACAAAACAAUUCUUCAAAAUGUGGGGGAAAUGAGACAUGAAGCAUUGGAGGGAAAGGAAAGAAGAUACGCAGAGUGAGAUGCUGGUGUGAAAUGCAGAGCAUCAGAGUCGAAGGAGUGCCGUCUGCGGCGUAAAAAUCUGUUCUGUUGGCUGGGGCCACAAAUGCGAGAGAGUGGCCAUCAGAAAUGUAUCUCCAAAGCUGGUCAGAUCUUCAGAUGACCGCAGCUACCAUCUUCACUGAAACCUGAUGAGACCCUGGGCCAGAACCACCCAGCUAGCUAAGCGGCUUCUGAUGUCCUUAAGAACUGAGGAUACUUAGGAACCAUAGCAACUGAAAAUCAUGACUGUUUAGUAUUGUUUUGAGCCACGAAGUUUGGGAGUAACUUAUUAUGCAGCAAUAGAUAUAAAAUACAGCAGCCAAAGCUCUUUGGUGGAUAUGGAGAAUUCAGUGGCCUGACCUUCAGUCAUCAGGGCAUUAAGGCCUGUGAAGGAGCACCCCCAGCCCGCAUUUGGCCCCGUGGGCUGUAGCUCCAAAGGGACGCUUUCAUGCUCUCAUCUAACAAUACCCACUUCCAUUUCUGCUCAUGGACUGUUGCUCAAUAUUCUCAUUAGGACUCCCUAGAAGCCAUAAAAUUAAGAAGCAUUAGUGACUAAGACUUGAUAAGGCCUAAUUAUGGAAUGCUUUCCAAAGACUAUUGGACUUUAGGCUAUACUGGAUUGAAAACAGAAAAAGGCAGUCACGACAAGUUUCAGAGUGGUGACAUUAUGGCAAGAUUUCGGAAAGUUUUGUGUUCUGUCUCCAGAGCCAUCACAUAGGACAUCAUGGUUUGGGAACAUGUACCAAACGAGGGUUAGCUACUUUGCAAAUUCAGACUGAUUUUUGUUGUCUUUAUAAAAGGACUAAGAUGUUGAUCUUUGAACAAAGAAGUGUCUUGCUAAGCUGUUUCCCAGGAGUUGCCCCCAGUUCCAGCCCAAAGCUAGGAGAAAGGCAAUACAAACAUAUCAAUAUCAAAUGCAUCAAUGAAAAAGAACACUAGCAAUUUCUUUCUCUCCCCUUCCGCCCUCCUCAUGGACUAGGACCUUGCCCCUUGCCUGAGGUAGCAGGACCUCUCCUAGGAGCUACAACCACUUCUGAUAAAGUGGCUGCUGGCUACCAUUCCCAGAGGCUCCCCGAGAGAUUGCCAGGUUUGUCUAAGUACCAAGCAAACUAUAUCAGACAGGACACAGAGCAUAGGAGGGAUACCCAUUAUCCUUUCCAAGGGAUAUACUUUCCACUUAAAUUAAUUAAGCCACUGAGGUUACAAAACCAUGAAAGGGCAUGACAAGUAAAAUUAUCACCAUAAUAAAACUGAGAAAGGAGAAGCAGACAUUAGAGAACUUGCCUGAGGUCCCAAUGCUAGUAAGUGCUGGGCCUGUGGCUAGAAAACAGAACUUUUUGAUUCUUAGCUUUUCCCAUAGUGCUAGUGGUUCUCCACCUAUCUCAGCAAAGAGGCUGGAGAUAUAUAUAUAUAUAUAUAUAUUUUUUUUUUUUCUCUUCCAGAAAAUCUGAUAAUUUUAUUUAUCACUCCACUUCACUUUGAUAUUUCCUUUGUGGUUUUCAUUUUUAAACAUUUUCUUUGAAGCUUUUCAAAUUACAAAAGUAAUAUAUGUUUUGCCAAUCAAACAAUACAACACAAAGGUGUUUCACUUUUCAGAGGCAAUCAAUAUUCAGCCCAGUUUGUUUUUCUUGUGGUAUUCUUUGCUCACACAAAACAAAGAAAUAUAUGUAUUUCUAUAAAAGUUUCAAUAUUUGUUUUUACCAAAAUAGAGUUAUAUUGUACAUAGCAGUCUACAACUUCCUUUUUUGAAAGUGGGAAUGGAUCAUAAUCUCUAAGUUAGGAAGUCUAUGUCUAAUUUUUUUUAUAAAAUUUUUUUUUUUAAGAUUUUAUUUGACAGGCAGAGAUCACAAGAAGGCAGAGAGGCAAGUGGAGAGAGAGGAGUAAGCAGGCUCCCUGCCGAGCAGAGAGCCUGAUGCAGGGCUCGAUCCCAGGACCCUGGGAUCAUGACCUGAGCCGAAGGCAGAGGCUUUAACCCACUGAGCCCCAGGUGCCCCAGUCUAUGUCUAAUUUGAAGUUCUUUUUCUAAUUACUGUAUGCAUACAAAAGACCACAUGUACACACACACACACACACACACACACACAUUUUGCAUGAACUCUUGGGUUUCAGAAUAACUCUGGAAUGUCUCCUCUAUCACAAACCAUGCUCUCCAAUGCCUUGGCUCUUGAUUCACAGUUGAAAAUAACCAAGCUAAAUAUGCUGCAGGGUAAGGUUUAGAAACCAAAGGAAAUAAAAAAUUAAUAUAAACCACUGUCCCUGCUGUUCAGGCCCAUGCAAUCUAUCUAGAGAGACAAGACUAAGCUACUUGAAAGAACAGCAAAUAGCACAAGAUUGUAAGUCAUUAAGUACUAAAUUAUGUGGCUCAAAUGAUAAGUGCUACAAAGAUUCAGACAGGAGAGAGAUGUGUGAAGGCUGGCAUGUGAGAGAAGCUUUACGGGACAAGUGAGACUUGUACUCAUUCAAAGUCUGGCCGAAAGUGGAAAAGAGUAUUUCUGGGGAUUUUACUAUGUGCCAGACAUAAGUUAAAUGUAUUUUCAAUGUUUGCUUCAUUGCUUUGAUAAAACCCAGAAUCUCUAUUGUUCCUCAGGUGUAUAAAAUCAUCCCUAUAUAUUUAAAAAAUAUGAUUAUAGUAUCUUAGGUAUGUGUAUACUCUUGUGUGUGAUUUAAGCAAAGAUUAAUUUUCUUGAUGGAUUCAAAUGUACCAGGCAGAUUUAUGCUCAGUGCUGGGUGAAUCUGUUAACAUGAAUUAGAGGAACAUUGAAAAAUAAUUGUUCUGGUAAAAAUCUAAAAGCAAUAGAUGAUUCAUGAAAUUUCUAGGGUAAUUUUUUAUUAACCUAAGAAUAACUGAUAACAGCCUUAAAGUACAUAUCCAGGCAUAAUGCUUUGUAGGUAAGCUAGACAUAUCUGAUUUCAGAGAAUGGGGUUUUCCAUAUUCUUGAACAACGAAAGAUGCAGUCUAUGUCAUAGUCAACCUAUUUGCAAUAGUAAUUAUAAAAAUAACAAAAAUCAUAAAACACUUCCAAAUUUUAAGCAUAAUGCCUAAAUAUAUAUGCUCAUUGCUGGUGUGUGUGUGUAUGUGUGUUGUAAGCCCUUUAAAAUCAACCCAUGGAUUUAACUUUUUUGUAAAUUGUUUGUUUUUUAUUAUAAAUCUUUUUUUUAAGAUUUACUGAUUUAUUAGAGCAAGAGAGAGAAGAGGAAAGGGCAGACGGAGAGAAUCUUUCAAGCAGAUUCCCUGCUGAAUGCGGAGCCCCAGACAUGGCUCAAUCUCAGGACCCUAAGAUCGUGAUCCGCUCCAACACCAAGAGUGGGAUGCUCAACUGACUGAGCCACCCAGGCCCCCAAUAUCCAUCAUUUCUUUUAAAGCAGGUGUCUUUAAAUAUUUUUAUUUUUCUGACAUCAGUCAGUCUGUUAAUUUUACUCAUUCAUUCAUUCAUUCUGGGAAGAAAUCAGACACGAUCUUUGCCGAAUUCUCAUCUUUAAUCCUCCAAUGGCAACAAUGUGACAAAUGAACUGGGGUGCAGCAAGUGGAUGCCAGGUGACCAAUUAGCAAGCAGCUGAAGUCUCAGAAGCAAGAGAUAAUGAUAAGAUGGGGAUGAACUGGAUGGAAAUGCUUCUGCAGCUGCAUAUUCAACUCCUCUGGUGCUACUGCAAAACUUGGGGCUUUCCAGCCUUUUGGGGAGGCCAGUCAUUUCUAGGUGCUGAGGAUGGACCGUGAGUGGAGGAAGAGGACAUUUCUCCAAUAUAUGACAUAACUGAUUGGCCAGGGAAUUCAAGGUCCCACAAAGUAGAAUGCUGCAGUGUUUAUUAUCUACUGUGCUGUUAGUUUUACAUAAUAAACAACUCUUAAUAUACAAGUAUUUCAGAUGAUUAACAGUAAUUCAAACCGCUUUCACAAAUCCUCUAUGAUUGCUUUUCACCGUGGGUAAUCACCCUCCAAUCCCUCCUCUGGAAAGUUAUUUUGUUCUUGAAUAACUGAAAAAUUUAUAUCUGUAAAUAGUCUAUACUUCCAUGAAUCACCAUGCAAGCCUAAGGCAGGAAAAUGAUUCUGUAUGCGUGUAUGCACAUGUAGCUUCAAAUUUGUUUUUAAUAAAACAAUACUUUUUAUUGAAACAAAAA